AAAAGAUACUAGUAGUAUAAAAAGAUGUGACGAAAAUUAAGUGAUAUUUAAAAUAUUUUUCUCCCUUAAUGUGGCUGACAAAUGUUUCAGUUAUUUUGUUAAAUUAUCUCAUAACAUUAUAUAUCGAGAUAAAAUUAUUAUAAAUAUCGAAAUAAAAUUGCAGUAAAAAAAGCAACAGCCAAUUAGAAUUAAAUUAUAGAUGUGAGCGUGUAAAUAUUCAUGAUAACAAGAUUUCACUGGUACAGUUUUUUCACACUUGUAUGAAUCCGUGGCCUUAAGUAGCUAUUAGCUAUAUAAGUAGCGCGAUUAGCAGCGCGCAUUUCUAGCGCGAAUUUUAAAUCGUUAACACCCUCUUUAUUCAUGCUAAAUCAGUUACCUCAACAGUCUUUUAAUGCCCCUCCGCGCUAUUUUGAAGCUUCUCUAUUUUUACUGAUAGUCUAUAGAGCUUGAUGAGUAGAAGGUAGUAGGAGGAAUGUAGGAGCAUUUAGGAGGGGAAGGUCUAGUAAAUAAGUAACCUACGAGUGCGGGGACUGGCCAGUCCGCGUUACAAUUAGUUCGGCCGUUUGUCGUCAAUCGUACCACGAAACAUCCCUCUUGCGAUGACGUUACAUUUCGUUCUGUGAAAAUUGAGGUCCUUGCGAUGAAUGGAAGAUAUUCUUUCUUUAUGGCGAUUAUUAUUACCAGUUGAAGCGAAUUAUAUCGUGUAUUCCUCGCGUAUUUCUCUUGCAUGCCGAUUUGAAAAAAAAAUGGAUAGUGCAGCGAUUUUAGUGCUACUCGCCUUGUUAACCGCGUUCGUUAACGAUGCCGCGGCAUCGUGCAGGGAGGUGGCGAACGACGAAAUGUUGGAGUACUUCUGCGAGGGUGGUUACCCCGCCGACUUGGACAGCUUACCGCCGAGGACGGAGAAAUUGCGGAUCACCAGGAUGCCGCUUCGCAGAAUAACCGCCGAGACAUUUUCGCGCUUCAACAGGAAUCUCAUGGUAUUGAGUUGCGUGCAUUGCGAGAUUACUGAGAUUGACGCGGACGCGUUCCGAGAUCUCGUCAAUCUUCAGCAACUCAAUUUGGAGAGCAAUUAUCUGACCACCGUGAAAGCAUCAUGGUUCAAGGAUCUGACUUACCUUACGUACCUCGAUCUCAGCUAUAAUCACGUACGCGAUAUCGAAGACGACGUCUACGAAAAUCUGCGCAGCCUCGUGGACCUCAGGAUCUCGGGGAAUCGACUGCGAUGCCUGAACUUGGACGAGAUGUCACACCUAAACGAACUGAAGCGCAUAUUUCUCGGCGAGAACUCCGAGUUCGCUUGCCCGCAUGCGGUCAGCAAGUUCCUCAGAGAUCGAAGCGUCGUUUUUGAAGAGGAUCCUGAAUGGAGAAAACUCGCCAAUGAUGUGAUUCUUGUUGACGUGCCGCCGUACUAUGCCGAGAAAGAUCGCACUACCGCACCGGCGUACCGCGAAAGACCGCAACCUAAUAGGAGGCCAUCCUCGGAGGAAACGAGACACGAUGUACCUCUAACGAGAAAUGGAAAUGGGCUCUAUCCCGAUCAUCGAUCGGAGCAUACACGUAUGCGUAACAGAAGACCACACAUGACCACUACCAUGCGACCAGCAACGCCCAAGACUCAGGACAGAAUGCCCGUGCCACGAGUGGAACCGCGAUAUCCAUCUGCAGACCCUAGAACUCCCAAUGUAUCAACGGAAUCGUCGCAUGAAGCGAUGCAUCAUCCAUACUCAACGCUGGAAACGCCGCGAGCACCGCCCGUGGAAAUGGAAUCGUCAUUGGAAGAUAUCGGAAUGGCAGAAGCUGAUAAAUCGUCGGAAACGGAACGUACACCACCGUAUACUUUAGUCCAUGAAACGAUAACUCGUCAGUAUCCGACUUCGUAUCCAACGUAUCCUCCGCAUUCUCCCCCCCCUUCGCACCUUCCGCAGGCAACUUCGUAUCCAACGUAUCCUCCGCAUUCUCCCCCCCCUUCGCACCUUCCGCAGGCAACUUCGUAUCCAACGUAUCCUCCGUAUUCUCCUCGUCCUUCAUAUCUUCCGCAGGCAACUUCGUAUCCAACGUAUCCUCCGCAUUCUCCUCGUCCUUCGCACCUUCCGCAGGCAACUUCGUAUCCAACGUAUCCUCCGCAUUCUCCUCGUCCUUCAUAUCUUCCGCAUCCUUCGUAUCCGACAGCGGAGGAGGAUGCGGAAGUUAGAGAAUCGGAAUUCCUAGACCAUGAAAAGGCAGCUGGUGCUGGCAAAGCAUUAGAGAUGGAAAACGCAGUUUAUCCGCAGCACGACGUUCGCGUUACGACGUCGUACGAUCAGGAAAGAGCGGCUUAUGAGUCCGGUAAAAUGACACAUCCACCACCCAACGAUUUCGACACACGUACUUCGAGAACGUCGAUGGACGCAUCUACCAACGCCCCGAGCGAACAUCCGGACAAUCCAUCCUGGAUGCAGGAUAAGACACGUUACGAGCAAUCUCUUCAUCUCACCACAGAUAACGGACAAUGGAUAGUAGAUAAUGGACCGUCCACGAAUAGGCCAGAUUUUCAGACAACGUAUCGAGGGGGACACGAUCCAUAUAAAAUGCUCGAUAGAGGAUCGGAUACCGAUGAUCCUGUUGUCGCAGCGGGUCAGGACAAGGCAGAUCUAUCGCAGACAACGGUACCCAACGUUGCAUACGUCAGACCUUCGCUACCCCCGGGAGUGCAUUCGCCUUCAACGGGCCAAUUCUACCAGACGUAUCACGAAACGAAAAUGCCUCCACCGUUACUAAUCCCGAAUGAAGAAUCCGAUGAGGCAACCGUGGGCGAUCUUCUACUGGAGACGACAACGGACAAGCCAACCGAAUGUCCAAACAAUUCGGCACUGAAAAUCCGACCGGACACUAUGCUAGUGAUCUCCGUUAUUAUCGCUGUUUUUCAGCGCGUCAUCGCGGAGGGAUUUUAGUUCGAGCACGUUUCGUUAUCGAGAGAUCGGCGGGAUAAAUUGCGCGAUAUUAAAAUCUGAUGUUGGACCGCACGAAAGAAUCUGACUGACGUUUUGUCGACGUAACGAAUGCAUCGAAACAUCGUGUUGUUGUGCCUGGAUAUGAGCGCGCAUUUAUAUUUAGCGUUAUAAUUCUUCCCCAUGUAUCUAGCUACGUCGAGUACCUCUUUAAAGAUGCCUCGUAGAUCUAUUAACCAGACACACGGAUAUUUUAACCAGAGUGAUUAAAAAGUGAAACAUUCUUCUUCUUCGGAAUUGAACUGUUACUUUUCGGAAGUGGCAGAACUAGCUAAAUCUAAUGCUGGGCCAGGGAAGCAGCGGAAGCC